AUAAGGUCUUCAAGUGGACAUCACUUGACCCACACACAUUGUGAACCGUGGCUUCGGCCCAAACUUUUACAGUAUUGAAUGUAUAUUAUCAUAACAAAAAA
rnacentral:misc_RNA from 1 species